UUGAAGAUAAGAACGAGAUAACAGAGAAAAUAAAAUGACCCAUGUCCAUAGAAAUCUACAUCAAAUCCUCAGGUCUCUGCACUGACACAUGCACAAAUAUUUCAAGAUCAUGGCAACUUCUGCAACUCAUUCCUUUUGAGCUUCAAUCUGGCCAUCGUAUAAAUAAGUGGGUAAUAUGUUACAACAAAGAUUAAGUGAUUAACCUUCACUAAACUGAAGCCAGAGAAAAAGCUGGUGUCAAGAUCAAAGAAGAUCCUGCGAGGUUUGGCUAAAGCAGUGCCUGUUUGUUUCUUGAAAGGUUACAAGAUAAGUUGAGGAGACUAGUAAAUUAGCUGGUGUCAGGUAAGGUAUUUGCCAACAUCAGGUUCAUGUAUGGCGCAUCAUAUUCAUGUAUGUUGUUCUGUCCUUUAUGUAUUAGUAUUGGUAAAUAACUCUAGAGUAUCUUAAUUAAUGGAUCUAUCUUUUGAGAGCUGAAUUUGGCAUAUGAAGUUUGUUGAAUCAAAGCAAAUCAGGAGUUGGUCUUAAAAGCAUGCUGUUCAAGGAAUGCAAUACAAACAGUAAAAUUAUUUGAAACAAUUCAUACGGCUUCCCUUUGAGUGAAAAAUGAUCUUUCAUUUGUUUUAGCGUGUGUUUCAUAAUUCUCUCUGCUUUUUUUUUUUUUUUUGCCCUCUCCUAUUUUGAGAAUUAGUUGUUGUUGAUUUGGUGAAAAAGGAAUUUGCUUUAUUUGGAUCCUAAGAAGGGGCAAUCAUGAUCCUGAUUCAUUUUUUAGGUUUCUUCAAAAAGAAUAUUUCAGUAAAAGAGUGCAGAGUAGGACACCAUCAAAGUAUAAAAAUAGGAUAAGAAACAAGGUUCUAAAAAUAAACCUACCAGUAAACGACGACCACUUUCAUUGCCUCUGCAGCUUCAUCUUCUAUGCUUCUUUGUUAGAUCCCACAUCGACUAGGUAUGAGACUAGUUGGUGGUUUAUUAACCCCAAGGCACCCAUUUCUUCCAAAUUGGUUUUUGAGGGUGAGUUCUAUCUUGUGGGUUCGUAAUAAUUUGUAUCAGAAUAGUUCGCUUCACUGAAGUUGGACUUAAGAGUGUGUGUGGCUUUGUGCCGUAGGGGUGACCCUCGUCAGGGUGUGUGAGUUCCACCCUCUAAAGUUGGCCCCAGGGCGUGUGAGUGGCUUCGUGGGGUUUUUUAUUUAAAUAUACCCCAUUUAUCCUUAAAUGCCAAAUCUAUAUUCCAUUACAUAUAUAUACCUCCUAAAAGUAUAAAAAAUCAAAAAUAACUUAAAAAAAUCAUCUAUUUACGUUUACUUCCUCUCUCAUGACUUCUACAUAAUAACACAACUAAAGUCGAGUAUACUCGACCUUUUACGAUUUUAC
rnacentral:lncRNA from 1 species